AGUUUGAUCAUGGCUCAGGACGAACGCUGGCGGCGUGCUUAACACAUGCAAGUCGAACGGUGAAGCCCAGCUUGCUGGGUGGAUCAGUGGCGAACGGGUGAGUAACACGUGAGUAACCUGCCCCUGACUCUGGGAUAAGCCUUGGAAACGAGGUCUAAUACCGGAUAUGUGACGUUCAGGCAUCUGAUGCGUCUGGAAAGAUUUAUCGGUCAGGGAUGGACUCGCGGCCUAUCAGCUUGUUGGUGGGGUAACGGCCUACCAAGGCGACGACGGGUAGCCGGCCUGAGAGGGCGACCGGCCACACUGGGACUGAGACACGGCCUAGACUCCUACGGGAGGCAGCAGUGGGGAAUAUUGCACAAUGGGCGCAAGCCUGAUGCAGCGACGCCGCGUGAGGGAUGAAGGCCUUCGGGUUGUAAACCUCUUUCAGCAGGGAAGAAGCGCAAGUGACGGUACCUGCAGAAGAAGCGCCGGCUAACUACGUGCCAGCAGCCGCGGUAAUACGUAGGGCGCAAGCGUUGUCCGGAAUUAUUGGGCGUAAAGAGCUCGUAGGCGGUUUGUCGCGUCUGCUGUGAAAACUCGAGGCUCAACCUCGGGCUUGCAGUGGGUACGGGCAGACUAGAGUGCGGUAGGGGAGACUGGAAUUCCUGGUGUAGCGGUGGAAUGCGCAGAUAUCAGGAGGAACACCGAUGGCGAAGGCAGGUCUCUGGGCUGCAACUGACGCUGAGGAGCGAAAGCGUGGGGAGCAAACAGGAU
rnacentral:rRNA from 1 species